CCCUUAGAUGUUCUGGGCCGCACGCGCGCUACACUGAUGCAUUCAACGAGUUUUUCCUUGGCCGAGAGGCCUGGGCAAUCUUUUAAACGUGCAUCGUGAUAGGGAUAGAUUAUUGCAAUUAUUAAUCUUGAACGAGGAAUUCCUAGUAAACGCAGAUCAUCAAUCUGCAUUGAUUACGUCCCUGCCCUUGUACACACCGCCCGUCGCACCUACCGAUUGAAUGGUCCGGUGAAGCCUCGGGAUUGUGGCGAGUUCCCUUUAUUGGGAGUUUGUCGCGAGAACUUGUCUAAACCUUAUCAUUUAGAGGAGGGUGAAGUCGUAACA
rnacentral:rRNA from 1 species